AUUGAACGCUGGCGGCAGGCCUAACACAUGCAAGUCGAGCGGUAGAGAGAAGCUUGCUUCUCUUGAGAGCGGCGGACGGGUGAGUAAUGCCUAGGAAUCUGCCUGGUAGUGGGGGAUAACGUUCGGAAACGAACGCUAAUACCGCAUACGUCCUACGGGAGAAAGCAGGGGACCUUCGGGCCUUGCGGCUAUCAGAUGAGCCUAGGUCGGAUUAGCUAGUUGGUGAGGUAAUGGCUCACCAAGGCGACGAUCCGUAACUGGUCUGAGAGGAUGAUCAGUCACACUGGAACUGAGACACGGUCCAGACUCCUACGGGAGGCAGCAGUGGGGGAAUAUUGGACAAUGGGCGAAAGCCUGAUCCAGCCAUGCCGCGUGUGUGAAGAAGGUCUUUCGGAUUGUAAAGCACUUUAAGUUGGGAGGAAGGGCAGUUACCUAAUACGUGAUUGUUUUGACGUUACCGACAG
rnacentral:rRNA from 1 species